ACGGGGCAGGCUUCGCUCUCAUCAACCCGGAGUCCUCGCUCGGCCUUAAAGACCGAGGGGACCUGAGAGCUUGAACAGCUGGAGCGGCUGGGAUCGACCUGUCGAUACUUGGCAACACUGAAGAUUCGGCACCUUGAAAGCUCAGCUCCGAAGCUUGGGCAGGAGCAGGAGAAGAAGGCCGGCUAGACAACCUAAACGAUAUGACUUCGGCCACUUGUUGGGUAAACCUCCCCGCCGAUCACCCUACUAGGAGGGCGUCUGGGGCAACGUUCAAGCUCCCCCUGGGCAGCGUAAGAGUUUUAGGGGGCUUAAUCUGAUCCAUCCUCGUCUUAGAAGCUGCAAAAAAUCCAAAACCGGGGCAAGUCAAAACGACUCUCAAUAAAAAUCACAGAAGCAAGAUUAAAAUGGACCUCCACGAGAGAUAAAACACCCUGUGAACGUAAAACCUACGCUCAGACAGACAGAUUCUAAAGGAGACAUGAAGAGAAUGAAAUUAGGGGUCAGCGUUUGAGGAGCAAUCUCGAAACAUUAGAAAACCCCGUGGAAGAAAGAAGUUAAGGGGAGAGAUAAACCAUACUCUUUUUAUUUAACAGAGAAGACUAAGCUCACACCUUUCUGAAGAUAGACUAUACCAGAAGCAUGCGAAUCGGAAAGAAAGAUCCUUCAUUCCGGUAAAGGUCCCGAAGCUGGCAGUAGGGACAAUAUCAAGAUAUACCCUAAGAAUGAGGUUUUUAUACUGGACGGGAUGAUGCUAGACUCUAGUCCAGCGAUGCCAGGAUCCUUAAAAGAUAUUCAUGAAAAAGGAAGGAAAGCGUACCUGGAAAAUAAAAGCAGGAAAGUGGAGAUGGCAGUACACACGAAGAACAGAGGAAAGCCAGAAAUGGAAAAAGACAGAGGGGACUCGAAAGUCAAAAUGACAAAAAGAUGAAAAGGCAUUAUGAAGGAAGCAGUACAUAAACAGGCGUGGUCAUAAUGAUUCUUGGGAUUUACCCCCUCAUCAGUUGAGGCAAUAACUGACGAGAAGGUAAAGGGGCAAUUGAUAACUGCUGGGUUUCUUCACCCCGGUCUAAGGUCAGGCCCAUUAGGGCAGCUCAUAAUCUGAAGGCUUCUAGGCCCCCUCC
rnacentral:lncRNA from 1 species